rnacentral:rRNA from 1 species
UCUUCCCGGUCCCACCCGCCAGCCGCACUACGGCACAAGCUGCUGCUUCUUCUUCUUCGUUCCCGUCCCCUGCGCUCGCGGCGGCGGCGGCGGCUUUCCACGUUUUCUUUGCCGUGGAAGUUCAUACCCACUAGAUGGGGAAGGCAAAGCGUGCUUCCAUAUUUAUCAGGCUCGUUUCAGCAGCUGGGACUGGUUUUUUCUAUGUGAAGCGCAAGAAUCCUCGGCGGAUUACAGAGAAGCUUGAGUUCAGGAAGUAUGAUCCUCGUGUAAACAAGCAUGUUCUAUUUACGGAAGCCAAGAUGAAGUGAGACAGUGCAGCCUUUUUUUUUUCUUGACAUAAGACCUCCACUGUUCAUUUUCGUUGAAGACAAUGCUACCUUUAUUAGUUUGUUCCAGAUUCGAGAGUUUCAUGUGGGCACCAAAUCAGCAUGGAUCUUGCUCUGCCUGCCUGUUUAUUUGUAUUCUAAGUUUGUAACUGAAAUGAGCUGCAAGCCUGCAAAAGUACUGCCCAUCUAGUGUUGUGAUGAUUAUCAUGUGGAUGCUUGGUUCUGAAACUUAAAGCAGCCACAGAUGAAGGGUAGAGGGUCUGAACCACCAAGAUAAAUGUAAGUUUUUUCUUUCCUUUUAUGUUCUUUUCCUUUCCUGUUUAAUACCUGAAAUAUUUAUGCUGUCUCCGCAACCGAGUAUCAGAUAGCUGAGAGGCAUGAUUUGCUAUUACUGUUUAUGUUUCAUGAUUCAAGUAUGAACUCUGAACAAUGUUCUUUUGUGUGGAUGACAUCAUAUAUCAACAAACAAACAAUACAUCAUACAUCUUGUGAAAAAAAGCAGGCUGUCGAUCCUUGACCAUCUUCAGAAUUAGCAUUGGCAAGUAGCUAACUGUCUAAUUCUAAAAGGUCAGGUACUAACUUUCUGUGUCCUCAGACGCAUGAAACUGCUCGGCCGCUGUGAAGCUACUACUUGCUUCACCCCAGCUCUGCAAGCAUAUCCUGGAGCUAGGAUCAUAGUCCCACAGUCCGGACGCUGUCUGUCGCCAGAGUUUCUUCUUCCUCCCGUUUACCCAGUUAUUGUGGAUGAUGAAGCACCCAAGGUUCCUGCAAGCCAAGCGCAGAUCGUGCCUC